UAAUGUAUGGGGAUCUGCCCGAUAGAGGGGGAUAACUACUGGAAACGGUGGCUAAUACCGCAUAAUGUCUACGGACCAAAGCAGGGGCUCUUCGGACCUUGCACUAUGGAUGAACCCAUAUGGGAUUAGCUAGUAGGUGGGGUAAAGGCUCACCUAGGCGACGAUCUCUAGCUGGUCUGAGAGGAUGAUCAGCCACACUGGGACUGAGACACGGCCCAG
rnacentral:rRNA from 1 species